rnacentral:rRNA from 1 species
UAAAAUCUUAGUGGCGGACGGGUGAGUAACGCGUGGGUAACCUGCCUUACACUGGGGGAUAACACUUAGAAAUAGGUGCUAAUACCGCAUAAGCGCACGAAGCCGCAUGGAUUUGUGUGAAAAACUCCGGUGGUGUAAGAUGGACCCGCGUCUGAUUAGCUUGUUGGCGGGGUAACGGCCCACCAAGGCGACGAUCAGUAGCCGGCCUGAGAGGGUGGACGGCCACAUUGGGACUGAGACACGGCCCAAACUCCUACGGGAGGCAGCAG